CUACGGGCGGCUCCAGUGGGGAAUAUUGCACAAUGGAGGAAACUCUGAUGCAGCAACGCCGCGUGGAGGAUGACGCUUUUCGGAGCGUAAACUCCUUUUAUAUAGGAAGAAGAUGACGGUACUAUAUGAAUAAGCGCCGGCUAACUCCGUGCCAGCAGCCGCGGUAAUACGGAGGGCGCAAGCGUUACUCGGAAUCACUGGGCGUAAAGAGCGUGUAGGCGGAUUAAAAAGUCAGAAGUGAAAUUCUAUAGCUUAACUAUAGAACUGCUUCUGAAACUCUUAAUCUAGAAUAUGGGAGAGGUAGAUGGAAUUUCUGGUGUAGGGGUAAAAUCCGUAGAGAUCAGAAGGAAUACCGAUUGCGAAGGCGAUCUACUAGAACAUUAUUGACGCUGAGACGCGAAAGCGUGGGGAGCAAACAGGAUUAGAUACCCGCGUAGUC
rnacentral:rRNA from 1 species